CACACGACUCUCGGCAACGGAUAUCUCGGCUCUCGCAUCGAUGAAGAACGUAGCGAAAUGCGAUACCUGGUGUGAAUUGCAGAAUCCCGCGAACCAUCGAGUCUUUGAACGCAAGUUGCGCCCGAGACCUUUUGGUUGAGGGCACGCCUGCCUGGGCGUCACGC
rnacentral:rRNA from 1 species